AUGAAGACUUUGUGUGUUGCUGUUGUUGUGCUGAGUCUCACCUCAGUGUGUCAGUCUGCACCGUUGACCUGUGAGCAGCUGAAUAAGCCACUCGACAAAAGUCCAGACUUGUCUGGAAGAUGGUAUAUGAUAGCGCUGAGCUCAGACGUCUGUCUGAUUCCAAGCCUCCUGAAUGCCUUGUUUUGGCCCAGUCUUGUUAUUGACUUUAAAGAACAGGACACACCAAACCUCUACAAUGCCAACGUUACGUUCAACAUGCAUGACUUUUGUGACUCAAAAGUUGAAACCUUCUUCCUUAAAAGCAGCAGCCUUUUUGAUGUGGACAGCAACAAUUCUCCAACUGGUGAGCCUGAUACGCUGCUGCACACUGGCUGUCCUGACUGCCUCGUUAUCAAGGGGAAUGAUGGCAUCAACUUGCUCAUGUACUUCAGUAGGAGAAAAACUGUCACUGAUGCUGAGCUGAAGGAGUUUGAGACACAGUCAGAAUGUAUGGGCUGGUUCAAACCGGAGGUCCUAAACACAGUCCAUGAAUACCAAGAAUGCAAGUCCUUAGAUGACGACAAUGAGGACUUUUCAACUUUGACGGCCAAGAUGGGUCAACGAAUGAAAAGCUCAUACACGGGUCCCCUUCAAUGUAUUGCACAGGAUAUUUUUUAUUACCCCCGUGUUGCCUUUGAGUGGAUUCAAGAAAGGUUUUACAGCCUUCUGUGAAUGAACAAAUAAAAACUACACUAAAUGUGAAACA
rnacentral:lncRNA from 1 species